rnacentral:rRNA from 1 species
AAAUUGAAGAGUUUGAUCAUGGCUCAGAUUGAACGCUGGCGGCAGGCCUAACACAUGCAAGUCGAACGGUAACAGGAAGCAGCUUGCUGCUUCGCUGACGAGUGGCGGACGGGUGAGUAAUGUCUGGGAAACUGCCUGAUGGAGGGGGAUAACUACUGGAAACGGUAGCUAAUACCGCAUAACGUCGCAAGACCAAAGAGGGGGACCUUCGGGCCUCUUGCCAUCGGAUGUGCCCAGAUGGGAUUAGCUUGUUGGUGGGGUAACGGCUCACCAAGGCGACGAUCCCUAGCUGGUCUGAGAGGAUGACCAGCCACACUGGAACUGAGACACGGUCCAGACUCCUACGGGAGGCAGCAGUGGGGAAUAUUGCACAAUGGGCGCAAGCCUGAUGCAGCCAUGCCGCGUGUAUGAAGAAGGCCUUCGGGUUGUAAAGUACUUUCAGCGGGGAGGAAGGGAGUAAAGUUAAUACCUUUGCUCAUUGACGUUACCCGCAGAAGAAGCACCGGCUAACUCCGUGCCAGCAGCCGCGGUAAUACGGAGGGUGCA